rnacentral:tRNA from 1 species
GCCGGAGUGGCGAAAUUGGUAGACGCAGCAGACUCAAAAUCUGCCGAGUAAUAUCGUGAGGGUUCGAGUCCCUCCCCCGGCACCA